AUGAACGCUGGCGGCGUGCCUAAUCCAUGCAAGUCGAGCGAACAGACGAGGAGCUUGCUCCUCUGACGUUAGCGGCGGACGGGUGAGUAACACGUGGAUAACCUACCUAUAAGACUGGGAUAACUUCGGGAAACCGGAGCUAAUACCGGAUAAUAUAUUGAACCGCAUGGUUCAAUAGUGAAAGACGGUUUUGCUGUCACUUAUAGAUGGAUCCGCGCCGCAUUAGCUAGUUGGUAAGGUAACGGCUUACCAAGGCGACGAUGCGUAGCCGACCUGAGAGGGUGAUCGGCCACACUGGAACUGAGACACGGUCCAGACUCCUACGGGAGGCAGCAGUAGGGAAUCUUCCGCAAUGGGCGAAAGCCUGACGGAGCAACGCCGCGUGAGUGAUGAAGGUCUUCGGAUCGUAAAACUCUGUUAUUAGGGAAGAACAAAUGUGUAGUAACUAUGCACGUCUUGACGGUACCUAAUCAGAAAGCCACGGCUAACUACGUG
rnacentral:rRNA from 1 species